GACGAACGCUGGCGGCGUGCUUAACACAUGCAAGUGGAGCGACGAACCAGGGCUUGCCCUGGGGCAGAGCCGCGAACGGGUGAGUAACACGUGGGUAACCUGCCCAGAUGACCGGGACAACCCGAGGAAACUCGGGCUAAUACCGGAUGUGUUCAUCCCACAUCAGUGGGAUGAGGAAAGGAAGCUUCGGCCUCCGCAUCUGGAUGGGCCCGCGGCCCAUUAGCUAGUUGGGGAGGUAAUGGCUCACCAAGGCUUCGAUGGGUAGCUGUUCUGAGAGCAAGAUCAGCCACAAUGGGACUGAGACACGGCCCAGACUCCUACGGGAGGCAGCAGUGGGGAAUCUUGCGCAAUGCGCGAAAGCGUGACGCAGCAACGCCGCGUGCGGGAAGACGGCCUUCGGGUUGUAAACCGCUUUCAGUUGGGACGAAGCUUCGCCGGUGAAUAGCCGGCCGGAGUGACGGUACCUUCAGAAGAAGCCCCGGCUAACUACGUGCCAGCCGCCGCCGUAAAAC
rnacentral:rRNA from 1 species